rnacentral:antisense_RNA from 1 species
UUGGCAACGCUCUUUAGUAAGCGUUAAGCAAAUCAAUCCACGACCAUACAUUGCCAUAAAGUUUACCGCUUCUGGCGUAAUAUGUUCCGCUGCCAUGAUCA